rnacentral:rRNA from 1 species
UACGAAGGGGGCGAGCGUUGUUCGGAAUCACUGGGCGUAAAGCGCACGUAGGCGGCGCGUUAAGUCAGGGGUGAAAUCCUGGAGCUCAACUCCAGAACUGCCUUUGAUACUGGCGUGCUAGAGUGUUGGAGAGGUUGGUGGAACUCCGAGUGUAGAGGUGAAAUUCGUAGAUAUUCGGAAGAACACCAGUGGCGAAGGCGGCCAACUGGCACAUUACUGACGCUGAGGUGCGACAUCGUGGGGUGGUAACAGG